CCUACGGGAGGCAGCAGUGGGGAAUAUUGGGCAAUGGGCGCAAGCCUGACCCAGCAACGCCGCGUGAAGGAAGAAGGCUUUCGGGUUGUAAACUUCUUUUCUCAGGGACGAAGCAAGUGACGGUCCCUGAGGAAUAAGCCACGGCUAACUACGUGCCAGCAGCCGCGGUAAUCCGUAGGUGGCAGGAGUUAUCCGGAUUUACUGGGUGUAAAGGGCGUGUAGGCGGGAAAGCAAGUCAGAUGUGAAGACCAUGGGCUCAACCUGUGGCCUGCAUUUGAAACUGUUUUUCUUGAGUACUGGAGAGGCAGACGGAAUGCCUAGGGUAGCGGUGAAAUGCGUAGAUAUUAGGAGGAACACCAGUGGCGAAGGCGGUCUGCUGGAUAGCAACUGACGCUGAGGCGCGAAAGCGUGGGGAGCAAACAGGAUUAGAUACCCCUGUAGUC
rnacentral:rRNA from 1 species